rnacentral:rRNA from 1 species
CCUACGGGCGGCAGCAGUGAGGAAUAUUGGGCAAUGGACGAGAGUCUGAACCAGCCAAGUAGCGUGAAGGAUGAAUGGCCUAUGGGUGGUAAACUUCGGUUAUAGGGGAAUAAAAUGUUCCAGGUGUGGGAUUUUGUAUGUACCAUAUGAAUAAGGAUCGGAUAACUCCGUGCCAGCAGCCGCGGUAAUACGGAGGAGCCGAGCGUUAUCCGGAUUUAUUGGGUUUAAAGGGAGCGUAGGUGGGUUGUUAAGUCAGUUGUGAAAGUUUGCGGCUCAACCGUAAAAUUGCAGUUGAAACUGGCAGUCUUGAGUACAGUAGAGGUGGGCGGAAUUCGUGGUGUAGCG